AUAUCACUAAGCGGAGGAAAAGAAAUUAACUAAGAUUGCCUCAGUAGCGGCGAGUGAAGCGGCAAAAGCCCAAAAUGGUAAUCUUCACCUUUCAGGUGACGAAUUGUAAUCUACAGGUGGGAUACUCAACUGGGAGUGAUGCAGAAGUACCUAGAACGGGUCGCCAAAGAGGGUGACAACCCCGUAUGUGGUGUCGCUCCCUAACGAGUACCUUUCGAAGAGUCGGGUUGUUUGGAAAUGCAGCCCUAAUUGGGAGAUACACUUCUUCUAAGGCUAAAUAUGUAUGGGAGACCGAUAGCGCACAAAGUA
rnacentral:rRNA from 1 species